rnacentral:tRNA from 1 species
ACCAGGAUGACCAAGUGGUUAAGGUGUUGGACUUAAGAUGCAGUUGGCUACAGCCCUUGUGGGUUCAAACCCCACUCCUGUUA